GAUGAAGAACGCAGCGAAAUGCGAUAAGUAGUGUGAAUUGCAGAAUUCAGUGAAUCAUCGAAUCUUUGAACGCACAUUGCGCCCCCUGGUAUUCCGGGGGGCAUGCCUGUCCGAGCGUCAUUACAACCCUCAAGCUCAGCUUGGUGUUGGGCCCCGCCGCCCCGGCGGGCCCUAAAGUCAGUGGCGGUGCCGUCCGGCUCCGAGCGUAGUAAUUCUUCUCGCUCUGGAGGUCCGGUCGUGUGCUCGCCAGCAACCCCCAAUUUUUUUCAGGUUGACCUCGGAUCAGGUAGGGAUACCCGCUGAACUUAAGCAUAUCAAUAAGCGGAGA
rnacentral:misc_RNA from 1 species